rnacentral:rRNA from 1 species
CCUACGGGAGGCAGCAGUGGGGAAUAUUGGGCAAUGGGCGAAAGCCUGACCCAGCAACGCCGCGUGGGUGAUGAAGCUCUGAGGAGCGUAAAACCCUUUUAGGAGGGAAGAAACUUCCGAUUUAUCGGAAUUGACGGUACCUCCAGAAAAAGCUCCGGCUAACUCCGUGCCAGCAGCCGCGGUAAUACGGGGGGAGCAAGCGUUGUCCGGAUUUACUGGGCGUAAAGCGCAUGUAGGCGGAAUGGUAAGUCAUUGGUGAAAUUCCACAGCUUAACUGGGGAACUGCCAUUGAUACUGCCGUUCUUGAGUGUGGAAGAGGGAAGCGGAAUUCCUGGUGUAGCGGUGAAAUGCGUAGAUAUCAGGAAGAACACCAGUAGCGAAAGCGGCUUCCUGGUCCGCAACUGACGCUAAAAUGCGAAAGCGUGGGGAGCAAACAGGAUUAGAUACCCUGGUAGUCCACGCCAUAAACGAUGGGCACUAGGUGUUGGAGGCUUUGACCCCUUCAGCGCCGUAGCCAACGCAUUAAGUGCCCCGCCUGGGGAGUACGAUCGCAAGAUUGAAACUCAAAGGAAUUGACGG